UAAAGGUAUUCCGGUAGACGAUGGGGAUGCGUUCCAUUAGAUAGUAGGCGGGGUAACGGCCCACCUAGUCUUCGAUGGAUAGGGGUUCUGAGAGGAAGGUCCCCCACAUUGGAACUGAGACACGGUCCAAACUCCUACGGGAGGCAGCAGUGAGGAAUAUUGGUCAAUGGGCGAGAGCCUGAACCAGCCAAGUAGCGUGAAGGAUGACUGCCCUAUGGGUUGUAAACUUCUUUUAUAAAGGAAUAAAGUCGGGUAUGGAUACCCGUUUGCAUGUACUUUAUGAAUAAGGAUCGGCUAACUCCGUGCCAGCAGCCGCGGUAAUACGGAGGAUCCGAGCGUUAUCCGGAUUUAUUGGGUUUAAAGGGAGCGUAGAUGGAUGUUUAAGUCAGUUGUGAAAGUUUGCGGCUCAACCGUAAAAUUGCAGUUGACACUGGAUAUCUUGAGUGCAGUUGAGGCAGGCGGAAUUCGUGGUGUAGCGGUGAAAUGCUUAGAUAUCACGAAGAACUCCGAUUGCGAAGGCAGCCUGCUAAGCUGCAACUGACAUUGAGGCUCGAAAGUGUGGGUAUCAAACAGGAUUAGAUACCCUGGUAGUCCACACGGUAAACGAUGAAUACUCGCUGUUUGCGAUAUACGGCAA
rnacentral:rRNA from 1 species